GGUUGAUCCUGCCAGUAGUCAUAUGCUUGUCUAAAGGACUAAGCCAUGCAUGUCUAAGUAUAAGCAAUUAUACUUGUGAAACUGCGAAUGGCUCAUUAAAUCAGUUAUAGUUUAUUUGAUAUUUUCUUGCUACAUGGAUACCGGUGGCAAAGUACCGCUAAUACAUGCAAACAAUCCCUUCUGGGAUGUAUUUAUUAGAUACGCAAACCAACCUGGGCAACCAGAGUAUGCUGACUCAUAAUAACUUCACGAAUCGCAUGGCCUUGUGCUGGCGAUGAAUCAUUCAAAUUU
rnacentral:rRNA from 1 species